CAGAGCUGGAUGCAGAGCCAGGCACAGAGCCAAGGCGCGUCUGACCCCAGUCCAGCGGGAUCUCCUGCAAGCCGCAGUGUUUCCAGAGGCGCACUUCAGUGUGUGGAGUGAAGGGAGAGUCUCCGGACAUGAGAAGAGCUGCUCUGAGCAGUGUGGCGGCCGUUUUUGUUUCCUUUCUCUUUCUCCUCCUGGGGCUAGGCAGACACCGGGCACAAAGAAGGAAACAGGCCUUCUGUGAGUGCAGCAGCAAUCAAUAAAGAAGCAGCCCAGAGCGGCCAUCCCUCUUCUGUCUGCUGUGACGCUCCGGCCCAGGAGCACCAGAGGAGGGGGACUUCAUCUGACUUGUUCAGCACUGUCUCCCAGGCCCUGGCACAGAGGGAGCACUCGAUACACACCGAUGGGCUGAAGACCCUGAGCCGUUGUCAAAACACAGCUUAAUCCCCAUUCCCUGGGCCCGAGACCCUGCAGCCCCCACGCUGCCCGGCUUCCGGUCUUACCUGGGGCAACCUGACCAACAAGAACGCGGAAGGCCAGGAGCCAAAAACAGAGACUCCUGAUGGGUAACAGAAGGAAAAGAUGAAGGAACAAGGUCCAGUGAUGUCCCCAGAGCAUGUAGCUGGUCAAAGACCAACCCCGGACCAGAAUGGAUGCCUCCUGAUCUCACUUCAGUUCUCAUUCCACUUCACCACACUGCUGGUUGACUGUGGUGUCACGGUGCAUAACCAGAACUAAUUUCUGGCAUUACCUUCCAGGAUCUAGUACAUUAUGGGACACAAAAGGAAUU
rnacentral:lncRNA from 1 species